CAUCUGAGGGCAUGGCCGUCCAAGAAGAAAAUGUAGCCAUUGGUGCCAUCUCUCGACCACAGGUUAAAGAUUGGCGAUCCGUUGGAUACCGACUGAGUUAUAGACAAAACUUGGUGCAAAAAUGAGGAAAAUUUUACAUUUUCUCAAACAGGGUAUGGAACUUGGUUCCUCGAAUAACUUCUGACAUAAACAUCUGAGGGCAUGGCCGUCCAAGAAGAAAAUGUAGCCAUUGGUGCCAUCUAUCGACCACAGGUUAAAGAUUGGCGAUCCGUUGGAUACCGACCGAGUUAUAGGCAAAAUUUGGUGCAAAAAUGACCCUUAGUAAAUUUUCAUUUUUUUGAAUUUUUUGAUUUUUUCAUUAUUUUUCACUCUUUUUUUUAUUUCAAUCAUUAUUUGAGUGAAAAGAAACUCAUUGCAACCAAUUGGGAUUAAAAUAAAACAAUUUUAUUUUUUUUGCAAAAUUUCUCAAAAAAAACGUAAGGGGUAAGCCUUAUGAAAUUUUCGAGUGGAAAUUUUUUUGAAAUUUUUUUCAGAUUUUUUAUUCUUUUUUUAAUUUAAAGCAUUAUUUAAGUGAAAAGAAACUUAUUGCAACAAAAUUCGCAUUAAAAUAUAUCAUAUUUAUAAAUUUUGCUAAAUUACUCAAAAAUGAAGAAAAUUUUCCAUUUUCUCAAACAGGGUAUGGAACUUGGUUCCUCGAAUAACUUCUGGCACAGACAUCUGAGGGCAUGGCCGUCCAAGAAGAAAAUGUAGCCAUUGGUGCCAUCUAUCGACCACAGGUUAAAGAUUGGCGAUCCGUUGAAUACCGACCGAGUUAUAGACAAAACUUGGUGCAAAAAUGAGCCUUAGUAAAUUUUUAUUUUUUUGAUUUUUUUGGUUUUUUGAUUAUUUUUCACUCUUUUUUUUAUUUAAAGCAUUACUUGAGUGAAAAGAAACACAUUGCAACCGAUUGGCAUUAAAAUAAAUCAAUUUAAUUUUUUUUGCAAAAUUUCUCAAAAAAAACGUAAGGGGUAAGCCUUAUGAAAUUUUCGAGUGGAAAAUUUUUUUGAAUUUUUUUUCAGAUUUUUUAUUCUUUUUUUAAUUUAAAGCAUUAUUUGAGUGAAAAGAAACUUAUUGCAACAAAAUUCGCAUUAAAAUAUACCAUAUUUACUAAUUUUGCUAAAUUACUCAAAAAUGAAGAAAAUUUUACAUUUUCUCAAACAGGGUAAGGAACUUGGUUCCUCGAAUAACUUCUGACACAGACAUCUGAGGGCAUGGCCGUCCAAGAAGAAAAUGUAGCCAUUGGUGCCAUCUAUCGACCACAGGUUAAAGAUUGGCGAUCCGUUGAAUACCGACCGAGUUAUAGACAAAACUUGGUGCAAAAAUGAGCCUUAGUAAAUUUUUAAUUUUUUGAUUUUUUUGGUUUUUUGAUUAUUUUUCACUCUUUUUUUUAUUUAAAGCAUUACUUGAGUGAAAAGAAACACAUUGCAACCGAUUGGCAUUAAAAUAAAUCAAUUUAAUUUUUUUUGCAAAAUUUCUCAAAAAAAAACGUAAGGGGUAAGCCUUAUGAAAUUUUCGAGUGGAAAAUUUUUUUGAAAUUUUUUUCAGAUUUUUUAUUCUUUUUUUAAUUUAAAGCAUUAUUUGAGUGAAAAGAAACUUAUUGCAACAAAAUUCGCAUUAAAAUAUACCAUAUUUACUAAUUUUGCUAAAUUACUCAAAAAUGAAGAAAAUUUUACAUUUUCUCAAACAGGGUAAGGAACUUGGUUCCUCGAAUAACUUCUGCCACAGACAUCUGAGGGCAUGGCCGUCCAAGAAGAAAAUGUAGCCAUUGGUGCAAUCUAUCGACCACAGGUUAAAGAUUGGCGAUCCGUUGGAUACCGACCGAGUUAUAGGCAAAACUUGGUGCAAAAAUGAGGAAAAUUUUACAUUUUCUCAAACAGGGUAUGGAACUUGGUUCCUCGAAUAACUUCUGACAUAAACAUCUGAGGGCAUGGCCGUCCAAGAAGAAAAUGUAGCAAUUGAUGCCAUCUAUCGACCACAGGUUAAAGAUUGGCGAUCCGUUGGAUACCGACCGAGUUAUAGACAAAACUUGGUGCAAAAAUGAGCCUUAGUAAAUUUUUAUUUUUUUAAUUUUUUUGGUUUUUUGAUUAUUUUUCACUCGUUUUUUUAUUUAAAGCAUUACUUUAGUGAAAAGAAACACAUUGCAACCGAUUGGCAUUAAAAUAAAUCAAUUUAAUUUUUUUUGCAAAAUUUCUCAAAAAAACGUAAGGGGUAAGCCUUAUGAAAUUUUCGAGUGGAAAAUUUUUUUGAAAUUUUUUUCAGAUUUUUUAUUCUUUUUUUAAUUUAAAGCAUUAUUUGAGUGAAAAGAAACUUAUUGCAACAAAAUUCGCAUUAAAAUAUAUCAUAUUUACUAAUUUUGCUAAAUUACUCAAAAAUGAAGAAAAUUUUACAUUUUCUCAAACAGGGUAUGGAACUUGGUUCCUUUAAUAACUUCUGACACAGACAUCUGAGGGCAUGGCCGUCCAAGAAGAAAAUGUAGCCAUUGGUGCCAUCUAUCGACCACAGGUUGAAGAUUGGCGAUCCGUUGGAUACCGACCGAGUUAUCGACAAAACUUGGUGCAAAAAUGAGCCUUAGUAAAUUUUUAUUUUUUUGAUUUUUUUGGUUUUUUGAUUAUUUUUCACUCUUUUUUUUAUUUAAAGCAUUACUUGAGUGAAAAGAAACACAUUGCAACCGAUUG